rnacentral:rRNA from 1 species
GACGAACGCUGGCGGCGUGCUUAACACAUGCAAGUCGUACGGUAAGGCCCUUUCGGGGGUACACGAGUGGCGAACGGGUGAGUAACACGUGAGUAACCUGCCCACAACUUUGGGAUAACGCUAGGAAACUGGUGCUAAUACUGGAUAUGUGCUCCUGCUGCAUGGUGGGGGUUGGAAAGCUCCGGCGGUUGUGGUUGGACUCGCGGCCUAUCAGCUUGUUGGUGGGGUAGUGGCCUACCAAGGCGGCGACGGGUAGCCGGCCUGAGAGGGUGACCGGCCACAUUGGGACUGAGAUACGGCCCCGACUCCUACGGGAGGCAGCAGUGGGGAAUAUUGCACAAUGGGCGCAAGCCUGAUGCAGCAACGCCGCGUGCGGGAUGACGGCCUUCGGGUUGUAAACCGCUUUCAGCAGGGACGAAGCUUUUUGUGACGGUACCUGCAGAAGAAGCACCGGCUAACUACGUG